rnacentral:rRNA from 1 species
UGGGCGACAGCCUGAUCCAGCCAUGCCGCGUGGUGGUGAAGAAGGUCUUUCGGAUCUGUAAAGCACUUUAAGUUUGGGAGGAACGGACAGUAAAUUAAUACUUUUGCUCGUUUUGACGUUACCGACAGAAUAAGCACCGGCUAACUUCUGUUGCCAGCGUCCGCGGUAACAGA